rnacentral:rRNA from 1 species
ACUUGGAAACAAGGUGCUAAUACCGGAUAAGAAAGCGGAUCGCAUGAUCAGCUUUUAAAAGGACGGCGUAAGCUGUCGCUAUGGGAUGGCCCCGCGGUGCAUUAGCUAGUUGGUAAGGUAAAGGCUUACCAAGGCGAUGAUGCAUAGCCGAGUUGAGAGACUGAUCGGCCACAUUGGGACUGAGACACGGCCCAAACUCCUACGGGAGGCAGCAGCC